UACGUAGGGUGCGAGCGUUAAUCGGAAUUACUGGGCGUAAAGCGUGCGCAGGCGGUAAGUUAAGUCUGAUGUGAAAGCCCCCGGCUCAACCGGGGAAGGGGCACCGAUACGACCGGCCUGGAGUGGGGUAGGGGGAGCCGGAACUUCCGGUGGAGCGGUGAAAUGCGUUGAGAUCGGAAGGAACGCCCGUGGCGAAAGCGGGCUCCUGGACCCCGACUGACGCUGAGGCGCGAAAGCCAGGGGAGCGAACGGG
rnacentral:rRNA from 1 species